GCAGAUUCGAACCUAAGCCGGUAGCACAGGAACCAAUUCCUGUACUAAUCGAAGUGACCAUCUAGCAAUGGUACCCGACGAUCGGAUAGGUCGAAUAGUCGCAAUCGCAACAUUCAGAACCUACGUGAAUAUGGUUACCGUAUAAUUCAUCCCUUUUGACCCCUGUGUUUAGGACGACUCAGGAUUAAACUGUCAACCCUGAUGAGAUCAUCCGAAUCGUGCUUAACUCAAUUAGUCCUGUGACUCCUCACUAGGACUACCCUGAUCAAGGUUUUGCUAAAUUGAAAUACGACUGUACACAGCUCCUAAAUUGGAGUGGUCAAUCCCAUCUUGACACACGCACCGACAAGUCAAGUACUUGACUACACCCAGCAGCCUUCCGUCACUGAAUUAGAAAUUCAGGUAGUCCAGUGCCUAAGUGCAGUGAGUUGCUUGCAAGUCACCGUGGCGGUCUCAGGUUGG
rnacentral:lncRNA from 1 species